rnacentral:tRNA from 1 species
GGUCGAAAGAGCAAGUCGGUUAUCAUCCCUUGAAAUGAAUGAAUAGUAGGUUCGACUCCUACAUUGGCCA